rnacentral:rRNA from 1 species
GGGGAACCAGGACUUUUACUGUGAAAAAAUUAGAGUGCUCCAGGCAGGCCUAUGCUCGAAUACAUUAACAUGGAAUAAUAGAAUAGGACGUGUGGUUCUAUUUUGUUGGUUUCUAGGACCGCCGUAAUGAUUAAUAGGGACAGUCGGGGGCAUCAGUAUUCAAUUGUCAGAGGUGAAAUUCUUGGAUUUAUUGAAGACUAACUACUGCGAAAGCAUUUGCCAAGGAUGUUUUCAUCAAUCAGGAACGAAAGUUAGGGGAUCGAAGACGAUCAGAUACCGUCGUAGUCUUAACCAUAAACUAUGCCGACUAGGGAUCGGACGGUGUUAUUUUUUGACCCGUUCGGCACCUUACGAGAAAUCAAAGUGCUUGGGCUCCAGGGGGAGUAUGGUCGCAAGGCUGAAACUUAGAGAAAUUGACGGAAGGGCACCACCAGGGGUGGAGCCUGCGGCUUAAUUUGACUCAACACGGGGAAACUCACCAGGUCCAGACACAAUGAGGAUUGACAGAUUGAGAGCUCUUUCUUGAUUUUGUGGGUGGUGGUGCAUGGCCGUUCUUAGUUGGUGGAGUGAUUUGUCUGCUUAAUUGCGAUAACGAACGAGACCU